rnacentral:rRNA from 1 species
CGAGGGGUGCAAGCGUUGCUCGGAAUUAUUGGGCGUAAAGGGCAGGUAGGUGGUCUCACUUGUCUGAUGUGAAAGCCUUGGGCUUAACCCAAGAAGUGCGUCAGAAACGGUGAGACUGGAGUAUCGGAGAGGCGAGUGGAAUUCCCGGUGUAGCGGUGAAAUGCGUAGAGAUCGGGAGGAACACCAGAGGCGAAGGCGGCUCGCUGGACGAUGACCGACACUCAACUGCGAAAGCGUGGGGAGCAAACAGGAUUAGAUACCCUGGUAGUCCACGCUGUAAACGAUGGGUACUAGGCUUGGUGGGUCUUGACCCCCGCUGAGCCGGAGCUAACGCAAUAAGUACCCCGCCUGGGAAGUACGGUCGCAAGACUA